rnacentral:rRNA from 1 species
AUGUGGAGCCGUAGCGAAAGCGAGUCUGAAUAGGGCGUUGAGUAUUUGGUCGUAGACCCGAAACCAGGUGAUCUACCCAUGGUCAGGUUGAAGUUCAGGUAACACUGAAUGGAGGACCGAACCGACUUACGUUGAAAAGUGAGCGGAUGAACUGUGGGUAGCGGAGAAAUUCCAAUCGAACUUGGAGAUAGCUGGUUCUCUCCGAAAUAGCUUUAGGGCUAGCCUCAAGUGAUGAUUAUUGGAGGUAGAGCACUGUUUGGACGAGGGGCCCCUCUCGGGUUACCGAAUUCAGACAAACUCCGAAUGCCAAUUAAUUUAACUUGGGAGUCAGAACAUGGGUGAUAAGGUCCGUGUUCGAAAGGGAAACAGCCCAGACCACCAGCUAAGGUCCCAAAAUAUAUGUUAAGUGGAAAAGGAUGUGGCGUUGCCCAGACAACUAGGAUGUUGGCUUAGAAGCAGCCAUCAUUUAAAGAGUGCGUAAUAGCUCACUAGUCGAGUGACACUGCGCCGAAAAUGUACCGGGGCUAAACAUAUUACCGAAGCUGUGGAUUGUCC